rnacentral:rRNA from 1 species
UGGGGAAUUUUGGACAAUGGGCGAAAGCCUGAUCCAGCAAUGCCGCGUGUGUGAAGAAGGCCUUCGGGUUGUAAAGCACUUUUGUCCGGGAAAGAAAUCCUUGGCUCUAAUACAGUCGGGGGAUGACGGUACCGGAAGAAUAAGCACCGGCUAACUACGUGCCAGCAGCCACGGUAAUACGUAGGGUGCAAGCGUUAAUCGGAAUUACUGGGCGUAAAGCGUGCGCAGGCGGUUUGCUAAGACCGAUGUGAAAUCCCCGGGCUCAACCUGGGAACUGCAUUGGUGACUGGCAGGCUAGAGUAUGGCAGAGGGGGGUAGAAUUCCACGUGUAGCAGUGAAAUGCGUAGAGAUGUGGAGGAAUACCGAUGGCGAAGGCAGCCCCCUGGGCCAAUACUGACGCUCAUGCACGAAAGCGUGGGGAGCAAACAGGAUUAGAUACCCUGGUAGUCCACGCCCUAAAACGAUGUCAACUAGUUGUUGGGGAUUCAUUUCCUUAGUAACGUAGCUAACGCGUGAAGUUGACCGCCUGGGGAGUACGGUCGCAAGAUUAAAACUUAAAGGAAUUGACGGGGUCAUAGCUGUUUCC